GAAGGGACAAGGCUAAGGGCAGGGAGGAGAUCCCAGCUUUGGGAAGGGUGAUGUGGGGCAGGAAGGGGCGAUAUUCAAAGCGGCAGAGGAAGCCCUGGGAGCGUGUGCACGCCUGUGUGGCGCAGCACUCGUGGCUGUGAAGGGGCCGAAGGAGGCUGGUGACAAAGCAGGGCCCAGGGACAGAUGGAGCGCCCAGCCGCCCCUCCAGGUGGCCGAACAGCAUGGACCACUCGUGCCGCUGCUCAUAAUCCUCCGUGGCCCUUCUGGCCCAGCAAGGCAACCCUCUGCGCAUGCAGGAGGGCAGGAGGAGAGCAGGAGGAUAAAGGGAUGACGUGCAGCUAGCAGGACGGCGAGGGAUGGAGGGAUGUGUUUUUACAGCAGGCACAGCUGCAGAGUCACAGAAUCACAGAGUGGCUUGGGUUGGAACCGACCUUAAGGAUCCUCCAGUGCCACCCCUGCCAUGGCAGGGACACCUCCCACUGUCUCAGGCUGCUUUAAACCUAAUCCUGCCUGGCCUUGGGCACUGCCAGGGAUCCAGGGGCAGCCUCAGCUGCUCUGAGCACCCUGUGCCAGGGCCUCCCACCCUCCCAGGGAAGAAUUUUCUCUUUAUAAACAAUAUAAAUGUACCCUCCUUCAGCUAAAGCCAUUGCCUGUGUCCUGUCCCUCCAUGCCUUGUCCCCAGUCCCUCUCCAGCUCUCCUGGAGCCCCUUCAGGCCCUGGAACUCCCGACCCCUGAGUGUCCCUCUUGUCACUGCUCUGCCCUGACACCGAGCCAGGUGUCAGUGUGACCACCCAGCCCCUUCCUCACCCACCGAGUGCUCCACCCAGGAAAUCCCUGUCCCUCCACUCUGGGGACGAGGACGUCGUGUGGGACAGAGUGGAACGCUUUACGCAAUUCCAGGUGGGUGACACCGGUCACUGUUCCCUCAUCCACCAGCACUGUCGCCUCCACUGCUUGCCCUCAGUGAAACCAUUUCCCGUGGCUGAAACUCCCUGGGACGAGCGCGAGGUGACACCGGGCUGGUGUCACAGCGACAGCCAAGCAGGCGGGAGGAACACCCAGCCUCGCUCUUCAGGGCUAAACCAUCGCAGAGCGCGUUUUGGGAGUUAACCCGGGCAGCGGGCAGGGAGGGACACCGGCCCCUGUCUGUUGACAGCCAGGCUCCUGCACGUCCCCGAGGGCUCUGUGUCACCCAUCUGCCCAGAGGGAGCUGCAGAGCUACUAAAGCAUGGAAAUAUGGGACACGCUGGCCUGCCAGAUAAGCAAAUCAAAGCGAGACUGCGAGUCCCCUCCAUCUCCAUGUGGCCUGGAAGGGAGGGCAGCAGGAACCAAUGUCCUCGGUGUAAGGCAGACAAGAUCUGUGAGAUGCCGCAGGUGUCCCUCCUGCUUUUGGUGAACUCUCCUGAAUCUCCAGUGUCCUUGCAGUGUGCUGUGGGAACUGCCUUUGGAAAGACUGGGCUGUCUCCAUGCAUUUCCUGCAUCACUCAUCCGUGUUCCAGUGCUUCCAUCUCCCUUCCCUUCAAUCUCUGACACCGUGUUCCUCCUGCUCCCAGCCUGGGCAGAGGUCAGGGCACUCUGUGUUCAGUCGUGCCCAGGCCUGAUUUUGGAAUUGCCCCUUUAGAAACCUGACUCUCAUGAAGUCCCCCUGGCCGUGGAGGUGGCUGGGGGCACUUUGGCUGCCUGAAGAAUUCCCAGGGCAUUUUCUGCUGUUUAUUUUGAGUUUGGGCAGCCAGGCCAUUUGCAUGCAGCCUGUGAAGGACACGUGUGAUGCUCCUCCUGAGCUGUGCAGUCACUGCUGGCCCUGUCCUGCACACUCAGCACUUCAGGCAUGCAAAUAAAGGGUGUGUGGCUUUCAUGCAGAUGCUGCAGCUUUAAAUAUGAGCUGCACAGGAAAAUUGCAUGAAGAACACCUUUUCAGGCUGGAAGCAAGCUCUCUGUGUGGAUUAAAGGCAGUGUCACCUCAGCAGCAAGGGCAGAGCUCUGCUUGAGUAGAAAAUUCCUGGUUUGGCUGGGAAGGGACCUUGAGGAUGAUCCCAUUCCCCCCCCUGCCAUGGGCAGAGGGGCCCAGCCCUCGGGGCAGCUCCGUGGCCUCCUCUGGAUCCCCUCGAGCAGCCAGAGCUGGUUCCUGUCCCUGGCAGCCCCUCGGCCCCAGCCGCUCGUGCUGGGCUGGACUGGCAGCUCCCAGUGCCAGGUAACGAACCCCACACGGCUCCACAGCCCUGGAAGGUGAACCUCCCACGCCAAUCCCCUCAGCAGGAAGGUUUUCCAGGCUCCUGCCUCUGCUCCCAAGCCCCUGCUGCCAAAGCAGAGCAGCGUGAAUCAGCUCAGCCCUGAGGCUGGGGCAGGAGGGGAGCUCUGAGGAAUUGUCCAACAUCCAAAGCUGGACUGAGGACAAGGAAGGGACGGCUGGGGUGAGGGUGUGACUGCAGAAACUGGUCCCAGGGAGCACAGUGAAAGUGCAGCACAGGCUGCAGCAGAGCUGCUCCAGUUACAGCUGAACCAGAGGGUGGCUGACGGCGGAAUUAAGAGUUGCCUGGAAAUGCCGAAGGAUGGAACUCAAUCUGUCAUCUAAUUUAAUCACCACGUUGGUAAAGCCCAGCUUUCUGGAAGAGACAACCUAAACACAGGCUCUAGAAGGAGAUUUCUUCCCUUGGGACUCCACAGCAGACCUGGAGACCCGAUUGUGAAAUCCCAUCAUUGCAGGGAGGAAAAAAAUGCCAAUAACAUCCAAAGCUUGUGCUCAAAUGCCACAAACUGCCAUGAUUUCUCUACAUCUCUUUCUGCUCUUGCUUUUAAAAGACACAGGAGCUGGGGGAAAUGACAGCAGUUCUUAGUUCUGUGGGGGAGAAUUCCCAUUUAAAUUCUUAUUCACCUCCCAAAAAUGAACGACUUUAAGGAAGGGAGUGGAGGGGGGGGGGUGAAUGUGCUGCAGUCGCUUGGAAUAAGAAUACAACUUGUUAAAUAAAGAUAAUCCAAGGGAAAAAAAAAAUCUUGGCAGGCUAUGAAAUUCAAAAAAAGCAGAAAACUGGAAAGUCUGAGCAAUGGCAGAAGUAAAAAGACUGAGAGACAGCCCCUUUCCAGCCUUUUGAGAGAUAAAACAGCCUUUGGGGAGAGCAGGCAGGUCUGAGGGCCCAGCAAAGGAGGCUGUUGGCACUUUAAUUUUUGCAGCCUAGAGGAUUUAUCACAGAAAACAGCAGGGCAGCAGACAGGCAGGAAUUAAGGAAAAUUUAUGCCCCCACCUCUAUGAAUUGAUUAUAAUUGGAAGCAUCCACCAGCCAAGGAUCCAGGCAACCAAACAGCCCAAUUCAACUAUUUUCACGUUUUUGGUAAACUGAAUGAAUCCCUAAUAGCAGCACUCAGCUGUGGAAUGGUGUCUGCAUUAAAAACUGCUUUUAAGGGGAAGAAAACAAACUCUGAAGGAAUCAAAGCCCCCCUUGUCCAAACUACUCCCAAAUUAUCCGAUGUGGAGAAGGUCCGUGCCAGCUGGGAAAGUGAAGGGCACGAAAUGCCGCACGAAGUAGGUGAUAAAGAAAUAAGUGCUGAAGACAUCUAUAAAUAGAGGUGUUCAGUGCCAGCAUCAGGCAUUGAGCAGGGAAUGGCACAGGCAGAGCAAGCUUGGGAGAAGGCUCCUGGAGGAGGAGAGGGGAAGAUGACAGGAGAGUCGUGAAGAUCAGAGAGCUCCGUGGCAAUUAAGUCGUGUCGGGGAGGGAUGAAGGCGCUGGCGACAGACAAGCAAACCCUCAGGACAUCAGGAUGCCACGUGAAAGGGGGGGAGAUGGUGGCUGGGGAGCCUGAAUGACUCAAGGAUCCUUUCCCAAAUUAAAGCCAGUCCCCAGAGGUCGUUACACAUCAUAAUGAGACACCCGGUGCGGUCUCUGCUCAGGAGCAAAUCCUCUGCUCCUCAGCUGGCCCAGGCUCUGGGCUUGCUCAAGCCCUGUGAGCCACAGACUCACUGAGGGCACAUGGGAGAGCCUCAGCCCCCUCCCAGCAAAGAAUUUCCUCUUAAUAAACAAUCCAAACGUA